rnacentral:rRNA from 1 species
UACGUAGGGUGCGAGCGUUGUCCGGAAUUAUUGGGCGUAAAGAGCUCGUAGGCGGUUUGUCGCGUCGACUGUGAAAACCCGAGGCUUAACCUCGGGCCUGCAGUCGAUACGGGCGGACUUGAGUGUUGCAGGGGAGACUGGAAUUCCUGGUGUAGCGGUGAAAUGCGCAGAUAUCAGGAGGAACACCGGUGGCGAAGGCGGGUCUCUGGGCAACUACUGACGCUGAGGAGCGAAAGCGUGGGGAGCGAACAGG